rnacentral:rRNA from 1 species
CGGAGGGUGCAAGCGUUAUCCGGAUUCACUGGGUUUAAAGGGUGCGUAGGUGGGCAAGUAAGUCAGUGGUGAAAUCUCCGGGCUUAACCCGGAAACUGCCAUUGAUACUAUUUGUCUUGAAUACUGUGGAGGUCAGCGGAAUAUGUCAUGUAGCGGUGAAAUGCUUAGAUAUGACAUAGAACACCAAUUGCAAAGGCAGCUGGCUACACAAAUAUUGACACUGAGGCACGAAAGCGUGGGGAUCAAACAGGAUUAGAUACCCUGGUAGUCCACGCCCUAAACUAUGGAUACUCGACAUUUGCGAUAAACUGCAAGUGUCUGAGCGAAAGCAUUAAGUAUCCCACCUGGGAAGUACGAUCGCAAGAUUG